UCGCUGAAAAACAUAACCCAUAAAUGCUAGUUGUACCAGGAACCACCUCCUUAGCCUGCGUAAUCUCCCUUACGCGGGCUUAUUU
rnacentral:sRNA from 20 species